rnacentral:rRNA from 1 species
AUACGGAGGGGGUUAGCGUUGUUCGGAAUUACUGGGCGUAAAGCGCACGUAGGCGGACUGGAAAGUUGGGGGUGAAAUCCCGGGGCUCAACCCCGGAACUGCCUCCAAAACUUCCAAUCUAGAGAUCGAGAGAGGUGAGUGGAAUUCCAAGUGUAGAGGUGAAAUUCGUAGAUAUUUGGAGGAACACCAGUGGCGAAGGCGGCUCACUGGCUCGAUACUGACGCUGAGGUGCGAAAGCGUGGGGAGUAAACAGGAUUAGAAACCCCAGUAGUCC